ACCUGCGGCACGGGGGAUCUUUCAGUUGCGGCAUGCGGGAUCUAAUUCCCUGACCAUGGAUGGAACCCAGGCCCCCUGCAUUGGGAGCUUGAAGUCUUAACCACUGGACCACCAGGGAAGUCCCGAGUCAUCAUUUCUUAAGAGCUCUUACCUCCCAUCCUUUUCACCCAGACAUAAUUGUGGCAUCAAAUAUCUACAACCUACAAGAUACCUGUGAGCAACCAGAAGAACUUCUAGGCCACCAACACUCCCCGAGGACAAUUUUGGAACCUAUUGGAGGUGAGGAUUUAAGUAGUGUUUUCUGGUGGCACCAGGUAGACUGGUGCACAUGGGAAAGUCUAUGGCACUGGGUUAGUAUUACCUUGAAGAGACAAGUCAUUCCCCAGUGGUCGUCAAAAUACAUACCAAGAUCAAAAUAAUAGCUCUCUUCGUGCAUAUAGCCGUUUGCACGUGGAAUUUAAAUGGCAUCCAUUCCUUUUCCAUGAGUGAUAGGACAUAAAUGUCUCCUACUGUGACUAACUGUCCCCGUUUGCCCGAAACUGUUCUGGUUUUAGCACUGGAAGUCUCACAUCCCAAGAAAUCCCUCAAUUCCAGGCAAAUUAGAGCAAAUCAUUGAUCACAGGAAAUAGGUGCCCAUCUGAGGCCAUAAGAUAUAUUACAGCUGCCCAUGAGGAAUCGAAGAUAGUUCUCCUGACAUCAUCUGUCAGGUCAUCUUGUCUGUUUGUCUGGUGCUCACCUCCAAAAACUAAUCUUCCCAAGCUUGUGACCUAGCAGGUUAAGAGAAGAAAACGAAGGCAAGUUCUAGGCCCCAACUUCACCGUGAUGCCUGGGCCAUACCGCACUUGCCACCCUGGGCCUCAGGACCAUCAAGUGUAAGUAAGGAACUUACACAUCAUAGUUUUCAAACACCAGACAAUAAUUUGAUUUUCAUGGGUCAUGAAAUCAAUUUAUUGGAUUACGAACAGCAUUUUUUUUUCUUUUCUGGAACUAUUAUUUUUUUUAACUUUAUCGAAGUAAAGUUGAUUUACAAGUUGUGUUAAUUUCUUCUGUACAGCAAAGUGACUCAGUUAUACAUAUAUACAUUCUUUUUCAUAUUCUUUUCCAUUAUGACUUGUCACAGGAUAUUGAAUAUAGUUCCCUGUGCUAUACCGUAGGACCUUGUUGUUUAUCUAUCCUAUAUGUAAUAGUUUGCCUCUAGUAAUCCCAAACUCCCAUUCCUUCUCUCCCCCAGCCCCCACCCCCUUGGCAACCACAAGUCUGUCCUCUAUGUCUGUGAGUCUGUUUUUGUUUCGUAGAUACGUUGAUUUGUAUCGUAUUUUAGAUUCCACAUAAAAGUGAUACCAUAUGGUAUUUAUCUUUCUCUUUCUGACUUAUUCACUUAGUAUGAUAAUCUCUAGGUCCAUCCAUGUUGCUGCAAAUGGCAUUAUUUCAUUCUUUUUGAUAGCUGCAUAAUAUUCCAUUGUAUAUAUGUACUACAUCUUCUUUAUCCAUUCAUCUGUUAAUGGACAGAUUGUUUCCAUAUCUUGGCUAUUAUAAAUACUGCUGCUAUAAACCUAGGGAUGCAUGUAUCUUUCUGAAUUAUACUUUUGUCUGGGUGUAUGCCCAGGAGUGGGAUUGCUGGAUCAUAUGGCAACUUUAUUUUUAGUCUUUUGAGGAACCUCCAUACUGUUGUCCAUAGUGGCUGCACCAAUUUAUUCCCACCAGCAGUGUAAGGGGGUUCCCUUUUCUCCACACCUUCUCCAGCAUUUACUUGUAGACUUUUUAAUGAUGGCCAUUCUGACCAGUGUGAGGUGGUACCUCACUGUAGUUUUGAUUUGCAUUUCUCUAAUAAUUAACGAUGUUGAACAUCUUUUGAACAUCUUUUCAUGUGCCUAUUGGCCAUCUAUAUGUCUUCUUUGGAGAAAUGUCUAUUUAGGUCUUCUGACCAUUUUUCGAUUGAGUUGUUUGUUUUUUUAUUGUUGAGUUGUAUGAACUGUUUGUAUAUUUUGUAAAUCAUUUGCAAAUAUUUUCUCCUAUUCCAUAGAUUGUCUUUUCAUUUUAUGGUUUAUGGCUUCCUUUGCUGUGCAAAAGCUUGUAAGUUUGAUUAGGUCCCAUUUGUUUAUUUUUUGUUUUUAUUUCUGUUGCCUUGGGAGACUGACCUAAGAAAACAUCAGUACGAGUUAUGUCAGAGAAUGUUUUGCCUGUGAUCUCUUCUAGGAGUUUUAUGGUACGAACAGCACUUUUAAUUUUUUUUAAUAAAACAGAACAAAACAAGUAUUGGAUUGGCCAAAAAGUUCAUUCGGGUUUUUCCAUAACAUGUUACAGAAAAACACGAACAAACUUUUUGGCCAACCCAAUAGAAACUACUAGAGGACAUUGCACAUGGCAGGGAAGUGUUGUUUGUAAAGCAUGUUUCAAUUAUAUAUGUCCUUGUCUACCAGAUCUCAAUGUCGAAUUUAUUGCUUGAUGUGGGUUGCAGGCAAACAUUUAAAGCCAACAGAUUAGAUCAUCUCUAACUUUCCUGCUGACUCCAGAAUUUUGCAGUCCUACAGAAGUCAUUUUUUUUUAAUGUGUAUACAUAUUUUAUUGGAUCUCAUUUUCCUUUUUUUUCACAAUUCAUUUUUUUAAUAUUAUUUUACAACCUACUUUUAAAAAAUAUUUAUUUAUUUAUUUUUAUUUUUGGCUGCGUUGGGUCUUCGUUGCUGCUCGUGGGCUUUCUCUAGUUGUGGCGAGCGGGGGCUACUCUUCGUUGUGGUGCAUGGGCUUCUCAUUGCGGCAGCUCCUCUUGUUGCAGAGCACGGGCUCUAGGCAGGCUUCAGUAGUUGUGGCGCAUGGGCUCAGUAGUUGUGGCUCGCGGGCUUAGUUGCUCUGCGGCAUGUGGAAUCUUCCCGGACCAGGGCUUGAACCCAUGUCCCCUGCAUUGGCAGGCGGAUCCUUAACCACUGCGCCACCAGAGAAGCCCCAGAAGUCAGUUUUGUAAGUGGUUUUUCUCUUUUAUUAUUGUAAAAGAUCCUAGAAUAAAAGUUAUUGUUGCCCUAUUCAUAGCACCCAGCACGGGGCCUUACAGUUAGUUCACUCCCAAUAAAUGUUUCUUAUAUUCCAGCACAUUCAACAAGAACACACUCCAACAUGAACUUUGGUGCUUUCUUUCAUCUCCAACAGAAGCGGAAGUCCCAGAGCUGGGUGAUUGUACCAACCAGCAGGAAAAUAACCUCUUGAAUAUCAUUGCCUUUCAGCUUGAGAGAAUUCAGAGAGCUCCAUAAAUGCCACAACCAUGCUGGCAGCAGCCUCUGCAGAUGCAGACUUUGACACUGAGAUACACUCCUGGUUUCAGGAACAAUCUGGUUCAAUUUCUGGAGGGAUGAACACUCUAGCAAGGGAAGGGGGGUGGGGGAAAUGGGGAACAGAUACAUUCUAGAAUCAAAAACAGGUAUGCACUAACUACACAUCAGCAAUCACUUCUAGGAGCAUGAAACGUGACAGGUACCUGCAAACUGCUAAGGAAAAGAACAAGUAUAAUUUUAUGGAUUGUCACUUUGCAAUAGCAGGAUAUAGAAAGCAUAAAAGUUAGCAAUUUUUACAUCAGAAAUCACAAUUAGGGAACCAUUUUGUUUUCUAGUCCCCCCCUACAAAAAAAAAAAUGCUGUGCCAGAAUUUUUACAUAAUUAGGGCUUCAAGUAAAAAUUUCGGCCUCCUGAAAAAAAAAUGUCAUUUCCUUUUUUUUUUUUUUUUUGCGGUACACGGGCCUCUCACUGCUGUGGCCUCUCCCGUUGCGGAGCACAGGCUCCGGACGCGCAGGCUCCGGACGCGCAGGCUCAGCGGCCAUGGCUUACGGACCCAGCCGCUCUGCGGCAUGUGGGAUCUUCCCGGACUGGGGCACGAACCCGUGUCCCCUGCAUCGGCAGGCGGACUCUCAACCACUGCACCACCGGGGAAGCCCUGUCAUUUCCUUUUAAAUCACAUUUUUUUCCUCAGUUAAUUCUGAUGUUAGAUGAAAAGAUGGAAAUAGAGAAGGUCCAGUCUUUAAAAAAUUAGGAAGUGAUAUUUCUUUUCUAAAAAGCAAGAAUGGAUCAGAAAUUAAAACUUAACAUAUUACUCUGAAGUCUAAAUAUAGGCUACAUCAGGAGCACGGCUGGUCAUGGGAUAGACUCCUCAAAUGAGGCGCCUGAGACCCUGGGGCCACGCCCCACACAGGUGAGGGCAGUCCAUCUGAGUAAGAGCAAUAAAGUAAUAAGGAGAGUGCUGACCGAGGUUGGGGGUCGUCCAUGCAGGUAGGGAGGGAUGCGCAGUAUAGACACAGGUAAGAUGCACUGGCUCAGGGUGGCAGGCAGGUGGGCUGAGCUAGUCAGGACUUGUGGUCCUGUCCACAACAAGGCAUAUGGACAGGACACACAUGCCCAGGGUCCCAGGAAAGGCAGCCAGAUCUCAGGACGUUUAGAAUUGCCACAACUGAGAACUGGCCACUCUUCUUUCUACUGUCUGUCCUUUUGAUUAUAUUCCUCAAAUCUAGGCAUAAAUUAAACAACUUCAAAAUUAAUCCAACAAAUCUACAAAACUGGCACCGAAGUUCCUCAUGGUCUGUGAUGACACUAGACUCCAAAUUCCCAAGAACCAGCUCAUCUCUCCCAGCAGCCCACACCUCCAGCCCAAGCAGAAUGGUGUCCUUGAGUCACUUAUCCAAUGGGCCGUGGCUGAAGAGAGAACGGAACCUGUGGGACUGGCGUGGCUCCUUGGCCAGUGGGGCUCAGGACAGGCAAGUUCCCCAAACCUGAGAGACUCCUGCUGCUUCAGGAAAUUCGAUCCCAGAGGAACAAAGAGACAAAUAGCAGCACAGAUUCUGGCCCAGGGGAACAAUACAGGUAGCCAGUGAAAAAACCAGGGCACAAGAGGGAGGCUUAAUUACAGGAAAAAGACAGCAGUAGCGCAGUGUGGGGCGUACAGUGAGGGGAGGACUGGGGACACGGUUGAACAAUCGCCUCUUGCAGAGACACAGCCCCAGAGCCCUGCGCGGGGUAGCCAAUCAAUAAAGAUUGGCUGGCUGUUUAAUUAACUCAGGAGCUUAUUUAGCUAAACCAGGUCUGCCUGUGCCUUCAAGGAAAUGGCCCUCCCGCAUUAGGAUCACGUGGGAGCCUGUUUAAAAUGCAGAUACCAGGCUCCAGAAGAGCCAGAAGGAAUCCUGAGCUCUAGGGUUGGGCCCAGGAAUCACCCUUUGGGCUGCACUGCUGUGGAUGUGGGCCAUCUUGAUCUACUUCAGAAACUGUUGCAUCCUGGAUCCUGUUUGCAGGGAACAUCCGGUUAAAAUGAAUUCUUCUCCAGUUGAACAAAAUAGAGGCACUGACAGUCUUCAUAUACAGGUUGCAAGAGCCCCUGUUAGCACAAAGUCAAAGAAGCUUCCAUUUUCUAUUAAGAAUGGAAUUGGGAAUUCUAUUUGGAGGACACUUACUAUAAAAGCUCUACAUGACUCCCCGAGAGUGAGGCCAACUCAGCUGGAAUAAGCACCCACUGCAGAGGGCCUAGGGGCUUGUGGAAAAUUCCAGAAGCUGGAGCUCCAUCCUAGAACUGGGACUAAGGAAGUUCAUUCUCUUUGGUUAAGUGAGCCACCACACGAAGGAUCCAGAUCCACAGAAUCAGCCUGAAAAAGGAAAAGCCAAGUUGGAAGACACAUGAGACCUAACUUCAGG